UGGGGAAUUUUGGACAAUGGGCGCAAGCCUGAUCCAGCCAUUCCGCGUGCAGGAUGAAGGCCCUCGGGUUGUAAACUGCUUUUGUACAGAACGAAAAAGGCCUGGCUAAUAUCUAGGUCUCAUGACGGUACUGUAAGAAUAAGCACCGGCUAACUACGUGCCAGCAGCCGCGGUAAUACGUAGGGUGCAAGCGUUAAUCGGAAUUACUGGGCGUAAAGCGUGCGCAGGCGGUUUCGUAAGACCGAUGUGAAAUCCCCGGGCUCAACCUGGGAACUGCAUUGGUGACUGCGAAACUGGAGUGCGGCAGAGGGAGAUGGAAUUCCGCGUGUAGCAGUGAAAUGCGUAGAUAUGCGGAGGAACACCGAUGGCGAAGGCAGUCUCCUGGGCCUGUACUGACGCUCAUGCACGAAAGCGUGGGGAGCAAACA
rnacentral:rRNA from 1 species